rnacentral:rRNA from 1 species
AUUGAACGCUGGCGGCAUGCCUUACACAUGCAAGUCGAACGGUAACGGGCCUUCGGGUGCCGACGAGUGGCGAACGGGUGAGUAAUGUAUCGGAACGUACCUUUCAGUGGGGGAUAACGUAGCGAAAGUUACGCUAAUACCGCAUAUUCUGUGAGCAGGAAAGCGGGGGAUCGCAAGACCUUGCGCUGAUUGAGCGGCCGAUAUCAGAUUAGCUAGUUGGUGAGGUAAAGGCUCACCAAGGCGACGAUCUGUAGCGGGUCUGAGAGGAUGAUCCGCCACACUGGAACUGAGACACGGUCCAGACUCCUACGGGAGGCAGCAGUGGGGAAUUUUAGACAAUGGGGGCGAACCCUGAUCCAGCCAUGCCGCGUGAGUGAAG